AGCGAACCAUAUAGCUGGUUUUUCAGGCC
rnacentral:sRNA from 1 species